rnacentral:rRNA from 1 species
UACGUAGGGGGCGAGCGUUGUCCGGAAUUACUGGGCGUAAAGGGUGCGUAGGCGGCGAAGCAAGUCAGAUGUGAAAUCCCCGGGCUUAACUCGGGGGGUGCAUUUGAAACUGCAUUGCUUGAGUGCAGGAGAGGAAAGCGGAAUUCCUAGUGUAGCGGUGAAAUGCGUAGAUAUGUGGAGGAACACCAGUGGCGAAGGCGACUUUCUGGACUGUAACUGACGCUGAGGCGCGAAAGCGUGGGGAGCAAACAGG